AACACCAAUUCAUCAUCUUCAUCACACAUCAUCAACCUUUGCUUCAAUCAUCCGCAAAGCACUCCCUCAUCAAACUUCAACAACCUUCAUCUCUCCCUCUAAACUGCACCUUCAAUCAUCUUCAUCAUCUUCGUCUCUCCCUCCAAACUGCACCUUCAAUCAUCUUCAUCAUCUUCAUCUCUCAAAAAAAUCUCUCUGCACAUCAACAACCGUAACAACGUCAUCUUCAAUCUACAUCUUCCAAGAACGCUCCAAUCGCGUAACUUUCGAAUCCGCAAUAAUUUCUACGCAACAAAUCAGAAAGCGGAUCGAAGAGGAAGAAGAAGAAAAGAGGAAGGAGAAAAAGAAGUUUGAGGAGAAGAUUCGGAAGGAUUGA